rnacentral:misc_RNA from 1 species
GAUGAAGAACGUAGCGAAAUGCGAUACUUGGUGUGAAUUGCAGAAUCCCGUGAACCAUCGAGUCUUUGAACGCAAGUUGCGCCCGAAGCCGUCAGGCCGAGGGCACGCCUGCCUGGGCGUCACACGCCGUUGCCCCCCCGCGCCCCGCACCCAACUCUUUGGGAGCGACCGCGGGGCGGGCUGAUGAUGGCCUCCCGUGCGCUCCGCCGCGCGGUUGGCCCAAAUACCGAGUCCCCGGCGACGUGCGCCACGACGAUCGGUGGUUGAGAGACCUCUGUCGCAAGUCGUGCGCGCCCGUCGCGUCACGCGGGCUCGCAUAGCGCCUCGCGCCGCACCCGGUGCGGAGCUUUCAACGCGACCCCAGGUCAGGCGGGGUUACCCGCUGAAUUUAAGCAUAUCAAUAAGCGGAGG